AUGUCCUCAUUGGAAAUGAUAAAAAACAUUUUUCUCUAUGUCUAUGGAACAAAUAAUUUGUCAACAAAUGCUUAAAUUGCUUAACAAUAACAAUCAAAAAAAUUAAUUAAAAAAUGUUUGAAUUCGCGGAUACAAUUGCUUUAUUACUAGGAAUAGUCAUUGGUACUCUUGGUAUAUUAGCUUGUCUAGGGGCUUAUGCUAGAAGAAAAAUGUAUAUCGAGCAAAUAUGAAGGAAAGGAUUGAAACAAAAUACUGGAAAUAUAUUUUUUAAUUAUUACUUAUGUAAACAAAAAUGUAAAUAAACCACCAAAAAUAUAGUAACAA